rnacentral:tRNA from 1 species
CAUUAGAUGGCUGAAAGUAAGCAACGGUCUCUUAAACCGCACCAUAGUAUAUAACAAAUACUUCUAAUGA